rnacentral:rRNA from 1 species
UAGAGUUUGAUCAUGGCUCAGAUUGAACGCUGUCGGCAGGCCUAACACAUGCAAGUCGAACGGUAGCACAGAGAGCUUGCUCUCGGGUGACGAGUGGCGGACGGGUGAGUAAUGUCUGGGAAACUGCCCGAUGGAGGGGGAUAACUACUGGAAACGGUAGCUAAUACCGCAUAACGUCGCAAGACCAAAGUGGGGGACCUUCGGGCCUCAUGCCAUCAGAUGUGCCCAGAUGGGAUUAGCUAGUAGGUGGGGUAACGGCUCACCUAGGCGACGAUCCCUAGCUGGUCUGAGAGGAUGACCAGCCACACUGGAACUGAGACACGGCCCAGACUCCUACGGGAGGCAGCAGUGGGGAAUAUUGCACAAUGGGCGCAAGCCUGAUGCAGCCAUGCCGCGUGUAUGAAGAAGGCCUUCGGGUUGUAAAGUACUUUCAGCGGGGAGGAAGGGAGUAAGGUUAAUAACCUUAUUCAUUGACGUUACCCGCAGAAGAAGCACCGGCUAACUCCGUGCCAGCAGCCGCGGUAAU